CCUACGGGAGGCUGCAGUGAGGAAUAUUGGUCAAUGGACGCAAGUCUGAACCAGCCAUGCCGCGUGCAGGAAGACGGCUCUAUGAGUUGUAAACUGCUUUUGUACGAGGGUAAACGCAGAUACGCGUAUCUUUCUGAAAGUAUCGUACGAAUAAGGAUCGGCUAACUCCGUGCCAGCAGCCGCGGUAAUACGGAGGAUUCAAGCGUUAUCCGGAUUUAUUGGGUUUAAAGGGUGCGUAGGCGGUCGGAUAAGUUAGAGGUGAAAUUCCGAGGCUCAACUUCGGAAUUGCCGUUGAUACUGUUCGGCUAGAGAGUAGUUGCGGUAGGCGGAAUGCAUGGUGUAGCGGUGAAAUGCUUAGAGAUCAUACAGAACACCGAUUGCGAAGGCAGCUUACCAAGCCACUUCUGACGCUGAGGCACGAAAGCGUGGGGAGCAAACAGGAUUAGAUACCCGAGUAGUC
rnacentral:rRNA from 1 species